UACGGAGGGGGCUAGCGUUGUUCGGAAUCACUGGGCGUAAAGAGCACGUAGGCGGUUUAUCAAGUUAGGAGUGAAAUCCCGGGGCUUAACCUCGGAACUGCUUCUAAAACUGAUUGACUAGAGUUCGGUAGGGGAUAGUGGAAUUCCUAGUGUAGAGGUGAAAUUCUUAGAUAUUAGGAGGAACACCGGUGGCGAAGGCGACUAUCUGGACCGACACUGACGCUGAGGUGCGAAAGCGUGGGGAGCAAACAGG
rnacentral:misc_RNA from 1 species